rnacentral:rRNA from 1 species
UACGGAGGGGGCUAGCGUUGUUCGGAAUUACGGGGCGUAAAGCGCGCGUCGGCGGUCCUGCAAGUCGGGGGUGAAAGCCCGAGGCUCAACCUCGGAACUGCCUUCGAUACUGCGGGUCUCGAGUCCGGGAGAGGUGAGUGGAAUUCCUAGUGUAGAGGUGAAAUUCGUAGAUAUUAGGAAGAACACCAGUGGCGAAGGCGGCUCACUGGCCCGGUACUGACGCUGAGGCGCGAAAGCGUGGGGAGCAAACAGG